rnacentral:rRNA from 1 species
CGCGUAGGCGGCCCUUUAAGUCAGAUGUGAAAGCCCGGGGCUUAACCCCGGAAGUGCAUUUGAAACUAUUGGGCUUGAGUAUGGGAGAGGGAAGUGGAAUUCCUGGUGUAGAGGUGAAAUUCGUAGAUAUCAGGAGGAACACCGGUGGCGAAGGCGACUUCCUGGACCAAUACUGACGCUGAGGCGCGAAGGCGUGGGGAGCAAACA